rnacentral:rRNA from 1 species
UACGUAGGGUGCAAGCGUUGUCCGGAAUUAUUGGGCGUAAAGAGCUCGUAGGCGGUCUGUCGCGUCGGCUGUGAAAACUCGGGCUCAACCCGAGCCUGCAGUCGAUACGGGCAGACUAGAGUGCUGUAGGGGAGACUGGAAUUCCUGGUGUAGCGGUGAAAUGCGCAGAUAUCAGGAGGAACACCGGUGGCGAAGGCGGGUCUCUGGGCAGUAACUGACGCUGGAGGCGACGAAAGCGUGGGGAGC